rnacentral:rRNA from 1 species
AGUGAACGCUGGCGGUAGGCCUAACACAUGCAAGUCGAACGGCAGCACAGUAAGAGCUUGCUCUUACGGGUGGCGAGUGGCGGACGGGUGAGGAAUACAUCGGAAUCUACUUUUUCGUGGGGGAUAACGUAGGGAAACUUACGCUAAUACCUCAUACGACCUACGGGUGGAAGCAGGGGAUCUUCUGACCUUGCGCGAUUGAAUGAGCCGAUGUCGGAUUAGCUAGUUGGCGGGGUAAAGGCCCACCAAGGCGACGAUCCGUAGCUGGUCUGAGAGGAUGAUCAGCCACAUUGGAACUGAGACACGGUCAAGACUCCUACGGGAGGCAGCAGUGGGGAAUAUUGGACAAUGGGCGCAAGCCUGAUCCAGCCAUACCGCGUGGGUGAAGAAGGCCUUCGGGUUGUAAAGACCUUUUGUUGGGAAAGAAAAGCAGCAGGUUAAUACCACGCUGUUCUGACGGUACCCAAAGAAUAAGCACCGGCUAACUUCGUG